rnacentral:rRNA from 1 species
GAUGAACGCUGGCGGCGUGCCUAAUACAUGCAAGUCGAGCGAACGGACGAGAAGCUUGCUUCUCUGAUGUUAGCGGCGGACGGGUGAGUAACACGUGGAUAACCUACCUAUAAGACUGGGAUAACUUCGGGAAACCGGAGCUAAUACCGGAUGAUAUUUUGAACCGCAUGGUUCAAAAGUGAAAGACGGUCUUGCUGUCACUUAUAGAUGGAUCCGCGCUGCAUUAGCUAGUUGGUAAGGUAAUGGCUUACCAAGGCAACGAUGCAUAGCCGACCUGAGAGGCUGAUCGGCCACCCGAGAACGGAGACGCGGUCCAGGCUCCUACGGGAGGGCGCAGUAGGGUAUCUUCCGCAAUGGGCGAGAGCCUGACGGAGCGACGCCGCGUGAGUGAUGAAGGUCUUCGGAUCGUGAAGCUCUGUUAUUAGGGAAGAACAUAUGUGUAAGUAAAUGUACACAUAUUGACGGUACCUACUCAGAAAGCAACGGCUAACUACGUG